rnacentral:rRNA from 1 species
UACAGAGGUCUCAAGCGUUGUUCGGAUUCAUUGGGCGUAAAGGGUGCGUAGGCGGCGCGGUAAGUCGGGUGUGAAAUCUCGGAGCUUAACUCCGAAACUGCAUUCGAUACUGCCGUGCUUGAGGACUGGAGAGGAGACUGGAAUUUACGGUGUAGCGGUGAAAUGCGUAGAUAUCGUAAGGAAGACCAGUGGCGAAGGCGGGUCUCUGGACCGAUACUGACGCUGAGGAGCGAAAGCGUGGGGAGCGAACAGG